CCCCGCCCCCCAACCGCAGGCUCCCGCGCGCCACCCCGAGGGGACGGGCGCCACCUCCUGCUACGCGGCACCCGGUCCCGUCAACCGCCCAACGGCUGAGGAGUGCGGCAGCGCGCCAGAGACUGGCGGGCAGCUCCGCCCGCGGCCGGGAUGCACUAGGCAAAGCCAGCUGGGCUCCUGAGUCCGGUGGGUACUUGGAGAACUUACUACGUCUAGCUGGAGGAUUGUAAAUGCACCAAUCAGCAUGCUGUGUCUAGCUCAAGAACUCAAGCUCCAUGAGGAGAUGUUUCAUUGUCGAGAGCAGUCAUGAUGGCCUGCACUCCACACAAUGCAACAGAGUGAAAGAGCAGGUUCUGCUUCUUUGGUGUAGUCCUGAAGCUUCCUAAGAAACUUCACAUCAGGUGAUGGAUAGGAGCAACCCUGUAAAACCAGCCUUAGACUAUUUUUCAAACAAUGAAGAAACUGAAGCUGAGAGAGGUUUAGUGAAUGACUGAAAAGGUUGUCAGGCUGCAGGGAAAAAAACAAAACAAAACUGUACGACUAGCCUGCAAUGCUUCCCAAAGUAUGUAGCUUAUUAUUAUUGGUCACUUUUUGAGUACAAAAUGCUGUGCUAUGUAACAAAAUAAUACAAUGUACAUAUGUAUAAAAGUUAACAUAUACAUAUCAAUUAACAUAAGCAUAACUGUAAUCACAUAUACUGAUAAAUAAAAAUAUAAAGUAAUAUAUGGUAAUGACCCAACCAUUUGCCUAAGUUUCAUGUAUUACAGAAGUUUUGAGGAGGGACUUCAGCUGUAUGCAAAUCAGCAAUUCGGGUUGUACAGUUGAUUACCCAUUAGUUCAGAAUUUUAAUAAUUUAAAAUAUAUUUAUUAAGAACCUAACAAUUGGAAGACCUUACAAUAGGUGGGAAAAUUCGACAGAUGAAUAAUGCUUAGGAGAUAUCAGCAUGUUUUGGAAGGAUAUUCCCAUGAAGAGAAAAAGUAUUGUGGGAAGUGUGGGAAGUGUUAUGGUGCGAGAGUAAUAUAGGUUCCAGCAUGUGUUUACAUUAUUUUGUUGGAGGUGUUGGGGAACCUUUCAUGGAAGGUGUGUGGUAGACUGUUGGACAGGUUUCCUCAACUUUCGUUCCACUCUUUGAAGAGGUUAGAAAA
rnacentral:lncRNA from 1 species